UAUUUUUAAUUGACAUAGACCAAGUCAUCUAGUAAAAUGAGGAUGAUGCAUCGGAAUAGCC
rnacentral:tRNA from 1 species